GAGUUUGAUCUUGGCUCAGAUUGAACGCUGGCGGCAUGCCUAACACAUGCAAGUCGAACGGCAGCGCGGGUAGCAAUACCUGGCGGCGAGUGGCGGACGGGUGAGGAAUGCAUCGGAAUCUGCCCGGUUGUGGGGGAUAACUCACCGAAAGGUGAGCUAAUACCGCAUGAGACCGAGAGGUGAAAGCGGGGGACCGAAAGGCCUCGCGCGAUCGGAUGAGCCGAUGCCGGAUUAGCUAGUUGGUAGGGUAAAGGCCUACCAAGGCGACGAUCCGUAGCUGGUCUGAGAGGAUGAUCAGCCACACUGGGACUGAGACACGGCCCAGACUCCUACGGGAGGCAGCAGUGGGGAAUAUUGGACAAUGGGCGCAAGCCUGAUCCAGCAAUGCCGCGUGUGUGAAGAAA
rnacentral:rRNA from 1 species